rnacentral:rRNA from 1 species
UACGUAGGGUGCAAGCGUUAAUCGGAAUUACUGGGCGUAAAGCGUGCGCAGGCGGUUAUGUAAGACAGAUGUGAAAUGCCCGGGCUUAACCUGGGAACUGCAUUUGUGACUGCAUGGCUAGAGUUUGGCAGAGGGGGGUAGAAUUCCACGUGUAGCAGUGAAAUGCGUGGAUAUGUGGAGGAACACCGAUGGCGAAGGCAGCCCCCUGGGUCAAGACUGACGCUCAUGCACGAAAGCGUGGGGAGCAAACAGG